GAAAGAAGCGCUUACUAAUAGCUCCUGCUUUUAGAUGAGUCGGCGUCUGAUUAGCUAGAUGGUGGGGUAACGGCUUACCAUGGCGACGAUCAGUAGUCGGCCUGAGAGGGUGACCGGCCACAUUGGGACUGAGACACGGCCCAAACUCCUACGGGAGGCAGCAG
rnacentral:rRNA from 1 species